AUAAUGACGCUGAACGAAGAAACAUACUUUUCGAUGUCUUCAGCGAACUGUGCUGAAAGAUAAACAAAGAAGAAGGAGAUAAAAUAUCUAACAGAAAAAUGUCAUAAUUCAAGGUACAUGAUAUAACCAACAAAUCCAGUAGCAUCGAAGGCGUUGGAAAAAUUGUAGAGAUAGAUAAAGCGAAGACAAGCAAACGAAAAUUGGCAGAAUUUAUGUUUAAACGAAAAUAUACGAACAUAUCCCAAGCAUAAAAGUAGGGUUCGUAAGAUAUUUAAGCUCAUUAAUAAGAU
rnacentral:misc_RNA from 1 species